CACUUCCAUUGUGCAAUAUAGUUUAGGUUGGAAAAGCUAAAAAAUGAACUAUACUUCCCAAGCCUAUUAAAAAACAUGGAGAAUACCAUAUGAGAAUCAUGGGUUGUUGGCCUAGACAACAUUUUCAAAGGUUUGCAAAAGACUGAGCUAGCAAGGAAGAUAGGUACGUUCAUCAGGGAUUUAAUCUGUAGUUCCCAACAGGAACACAAACAGUUCUUACA
rnacentral:lncRNA from 1 species